rnacentral:rRNA from 1 species
UGGGGAAUUUUGGACAAUGGGGGAAACCCUGAUCCAGCCAUCCCGCGUGUGCGAUGAAGGCCUUCGGGUUGUAAAGCACUUUUGGCAGGAAAGAAACGUCAUGGGUUAAUACCCCGUGAAACUGACGGUACCUGCAGAAUAAGCACCGGCUAACUACGUGCCAGCAGCCGCGGUAAUACGUAGGGUGCAAGCGUUAAUCGGAAUUACUGGGCGUAAAGCGUGCGCAGGCGGUUCGGAAAGAAAGAUGUGAAAUCCCAGAGCUCAACUUUGGAACUGCAUUUUUAACUACCGGGCUAGAGUGUGUCAGAGGGAGGUGGAAUUCCGCGUGUAGCAGUGAAAUGCAUAGAUAUGCGGAGGAACACCGAUGGCGAAGGCAGCCUCCUGGGAUAACACUGACGCUCAUGCACGAAAGCGUGGGGAGCAAACAGG